rnacentral:rRNA from 1 species
ACUCCUACGGGAGGCAGCAGUGGGAAUCUUGGACAAUGGGCACCGUAGCAUCCAGCCAUGCCGCGUGAGUGAUGAAGGCCUUAGGGUCGUAAAGCUCUUUCGCCUGUGAAGAUAAUGACGGUAGCAGGUAAAGAAACCCGCGUACAUCCGUGCCAGCAGCCGCGGUAAUACGGAGGGGUUAGCGUUGUUCGGAAUUACUGGGCGUAAAGCGCACGUAGGCGGAUCGGAAAGUUGGGGGUGAAAUCCCGGGGCUCAA